rnacentral:rRNA from 1 species
GACGAACGCUGGCGGCGUGCUUAACACAUGCAAGUCGAACGAGUGGCGGACGGGUGAGUAAUGUCUGGGAAACUGCCCGAUGGAGGGGGAUAACUACUGGAAACAGUAGCUAAUACCGCAUACCAUCGGAUGUGCCCAGAUGGGAUUAGGUAGUAGGUGGGGUAACGGCUCACCUAGACGACGAUCCCUAGCUGGUCUGAGAGGAUGACCAGCCCCACUGGAACUGAGACACGGUCCAGACUCCUACGGGAGGCAGCAGUGGGGAAGAUUGCAAAAUGGGCGCAAGCCUGAUGCAGCCAUGCCGCGUGUAUGAAGAAGGCCUUCGGGUUGUAAAGUACUUUCAGCGGGGAGGCGUUACUCGCAGAAGAAGCACCGGCUAACUCCGUGCCAGCAGCCGCGGUAAUUC